rnacentral:rRNA from 1 species
UACAGAGGGUGCGAGCGUUAAUCGGAAUUACUGGGCGUAAAGCGUGCGCAGGCGGUCUGCUAAGAGAGAUGUGAAAUCCCCGGGCUUAACCUGGGAACUGCGUUUCUAACUGGCAGGCUAGAGUGUGGCAGAGGGGGGUGGAAUUCCACGUGUAGCAGUGAAAUGCGUAGAGAUGUGGAGGAACACCGAUGGCGAAGGCAGCCCCCUGGGCUAACACUGACGCUCAUGCACGAAAGCGUGGGGAGCAAACAGG